UUUUUUUUUUUUUUUUUUUGGUUAUUUUUGAGAAAGCGUAGAAUAGAAUUUGGGGUCCAACAUAUUCCCAUGGGAUAGUUUCUUGAUUUAUAUUUGCUCUUUCCAAAAACAUCUUGUUCUCUAGCUGCCUUUAGUCUUUCUUAAUUCUUACUUCUCCAGGAACCAAUUUGUUCCUUUACUUCCUUCUCUACCUUAACGUUUAUGGAAAUGAUCCGUUAUUUACCAAAAGUGAGAGUUUGAGGAAACCCAAUAUUGACCGAAACCCAUACCUUUUUGUUCUCAAAAUAAAUCCCUUAAGUUCAACUUUCACCAUCCCUUUGAUAUUUUAAUACCUUCAGAAGACGUCAGAACUUUAGUUUCUUUUUUUGUUAUUUCUUAUCAUGGAAGCUCAGAUGAUUUAGUUUUUUUUUGCUCAAUCACCACUAGCUCAACUCUGCAGCCUUUUUUUCUCUGUCUCCCCAAACUCUGCAGUCUUAUUAAAUCGUAUAGUAAUAAUUAAACAUGGGGGGGUCGGUAACUUGAUCAAGAAUUAGGCAUAACCCUUCCAAUCGGAGGCCUUAAGUAGUUUUCUUGUCUUUAAUAAUGGUGUUCUUGUAUUAAUGCUGGCCUUGGUUUGAAGCUACGUGCAUCAGCUGAUCGGCAUAGGAGUUCGAAUUGCACGAAAGUCAACAUUGUCAGCUGCGUUCCCUGCCCUACCACACUGAAAGGAGGGCAGGUUUUGGGGGUCUAAGAUGUCACUAGCAAGGGAGACACCUGAUGCUCUCUCCUUUUUUUUUUUUUUUUUUGGGGUAAUUCUGCCAAAAAUUCUGUGAUAUGGUUUGAGGCCUCUGGGCAUGUAUUGUGGAUUCGGCAGACCUUCCAAAACCCCUGCGCAUGCAUGCACGCGCACGUAGGAGUGGUCACCAUGCAGAUGGUAGCAUGUAAUUAAACAACCUUGCCUAAGCAAUUAGACAUGAAGCUUGAGCCUAAAAGUGGUCCAAUCAGUCUAAUUAGUACGAGAAUUUUUCAUUGAGUGAAUCCGUUUAAUAAGAUUAGCUCCUUCAAUUCACAAUUUCUAGUCAACCGAAGGAGUUAACCACAGCAUGCAUUUUGAUUUUAACAACACAUAGAGGUCAUAAGAUGCUUAAUAUAUAUACAUCCAAGAUGAGAAAUGUAAUGAAGUGUGGCAGAUACUACUAUUAGGAGAUAAAGUGACUGAGGUAAGGUAAGCGACUGAUGUUUUCCCUAAAUCCAGUUGAAUCCAGUCCUCACCGGUCCUCUUAGAUCCAGUUGGGUCUUUCCUUCUAUUAGAAUAGUAUAUGAUAUUAUAGAUAAAAAUGAUGAUUGAUAAAAAAAGGGGGGGGGAAUAAACGAUUGAUGUGGCUACACGAAGAAGAAACAAGGAAGAAAAGUAGCACGGGGUGGUAAAUAGUGAACCAUUAGAAAUUAGUGCAUGGUAGGUGAGAGUAAUAAUGGUGGAAAUUAUGAUUGUGGCUGCAAAGGGGUAGGAAGAAGCUCGGGCGAUGGAUAGUGUGAUUUCUGGGUUGUGGCAUAAGCAUCAUGCAUGGAUGUAGCUAGCCCCAGUCACGCAUACUCUACACACUCACCUUCACAGUUGUGCGGGACAUGCAUAUUUGGCUCUACUGUUCGAUCCAUGACUAAUUGUGUAUUAUUAAGCCUUUGUUUACUUCUACAUUUUGCUGGCAAUGGAAACCUGUUGAAGUUGUAGUAAGUGGUAUUUAGUGGGCAAAAGAAUAGUGCUCGUCGGUGAUAAUUUGUCAAUACGUUCUUAUGCAAUCUGAAAUUAUCUGAAGUCUGAACGUCAAGGCAAUCGAAAAACCCGAAAGGAACUUAUUCCUCCUCCAGGCACCUAGAUUUAUUUCCUUUUGCCAAGAAAACAAACACUACUAUGACAUAUUGUAGUUGAUACAUGUCUUUUAGAUACUGAGAAGUUAACAAAACAUCAUUUUCGAGCUGGAGCUUUAAAAAGAACAAUAAUGUUUAUUAGCGUAUACGUCAAAAGAGCAUUCAAGCAAGCUAUGAAAAGUAAUUCAGAUUAAUAAUUUACAUUGGCUAUGAAGUUUCGCGUACAAAGAACAAACCAGUGUUGGUCGGCCUUAAAUUUUGAUCAAUUGGAACUACAGAUUAUCUUCCAUUCUGUUCUUGGUGGGUAUUUUGGACAGGGAUACCUACUUUUACCAAUCUUAAUAAAUCAUUAGCAGGCGCUAAUGAGAUAUCCAGCUAGGGAAAUAACACCACUUAUUAUUGCUUGAACAUUAAUCAAAGCCUAGAUUAUCCGUCAAAACCCAUUCUUUAUUAAAUGUUAGUACCAAAACUCAAUUGAUCAAAAUAUCAACCAAGAAAUCCAAACUCAAUUAGUAAGAAAUAUUCUAACUUGAUUCUUUAUCCUUUCUCUUCCCAAAUCUUCUUUUCCCUUGUAAAAAGAAAAAAAAAAUAUUUUUGCAUUAACCAAACAAAAUAAAUAAAUAAUACUCAACUGUUGUAAAGUACUACUGGAUUUUUUACUGCUAGAGAGUUCUAUGAUUUGGAUACUGUAUCGAUGAGAUUAAAUUCACCGUAAAAUAUAGAAUAAGAAUUAUUAAUUCUUAAAUUAUUUCAAGAAUUUAAAUCACUAAAUAAUAUUAAAAAAUAUGAGUGAAUUAAAGUCAUGUAUACCAUACCAAAAAGAAGCAGUAGUAUUUUCCUAUAUUACUAUGCAUCUCCAUCGGAAAAGGAAGUUAUACGAGUAGUAUACCUUUUCGAGUAUAGGGGAAAAAAAUAGAUAAAAAACCGAAAAGCAAGAACCGCCCAAUUCAAUUGAUCAAACAGAAAAAACAAAAACAUUCCACUGUAACAGUUCACCAUCAAAAUCUCUCUUUUCCCUGCCUUUCUCUCACUUUUCCAACAGAGCAAGUAACCAAUUGAUUUCUAUUCUACAUUGUAGCAUCAGUGCAUAUGAUCAUAUUCUAUCCAGUCCUUGCGCAAAAUCAUAUUUUGAGCUCUGUAGUAUUUCUCUGACACCAAACCUCUCUUUCAGUCCAAGAUUUCCUUUUUAAUCUUUUUUUUUUCUUUUCCAAUUUUUCUAACUUCACUCUGUCACUUCCCACUUCUUUGCCUUGCUUACCUUUGCUUUCAGGGCAAUUGUUGCAGACCAAAGAUUCAUACUUUCACUCUUAACUCAGCUUUAUCCCAUUAGUGUUGCCCCACAAAGAAAUCCCUUUUCUUUCUUUGGCCUUAUUUUCCAUUUUUCUUUAGUAUUCUUUAUUUUCUUAUCCUACCAGUGUAAGCUGAAUUCUUUGCUGACUGCGCCUUGUUUUCCUGUUUCUUGAAGAACCAACUUCUUCAUUUUCUUUAAAAUUUCUUGCUCAGUGUUAUUUUUGAUGGGUUCUUGGAGUUCUGGGGUUGUCUGAAUCAGCAACUGUUUCUUGAAGCUGUUAACGGACUUGGAGAAACAUGAGGAAUUUUGAAUUUCUUCAAGUCUUUUUACUGAGUCUAGGACUCAUUGCUGGGACUAAUUUGGCCUUUCCCUUAAACGAAGGUGUGGCUCGGCAUUACAGUUCUUAUUGUGUUCUUAGAUCUUGUAUUGUACUCUCUUUAAAAUUCAAGAAUUUGUGAGUAAAUUCAUUGUAAUGUUGUAUUAAUUAAGUUACCAAUCUUAAUGUAGGAUAUUAUUAGGCUUAAUUGCGAUAGUUGACUAUGGUUGCGAUUAUAUAACUAGAAGCGCCAUAGUCCACUGUUGAUGUAGAUUUUUCGGAUAGUGAAAUGGUGCUAUUUUCUGCAGUUUAUGCCCUCAAGACCUUUAAAGAAGCUAUAUAUGAGGAUCCACUUCUCGUUUUGUCAAAUUGGCAAGCAUUAGAUUCAGAUCCUUGUGACUGGCCCGGCAUUUCUUGCUCAAUGGCUCGAGAUCACGUCAUCAAGCUGUAAGAAUUCCUAUCUUCUUAUUUAGUUGUUCGAAGGAAACAUUUUGUCUACUUUAGUCCAAUUUUCAUGUUUUCGUGUGUGUCAUUGUUCCGUGUACCUAAUUGGAUGGCAGUUAAUUGUGCCAAUUUCUUGGUGCUAUUGAUAUGCUAUUUAAUUGGUGUAAAAGUUUUUAUUGUUAAUUAAAUUGCGACUUUGGUGUUGCAGAAAUGUUUCUGGAGCAUCUCUGAAAGGUUUUCUUGCACCGGAGUUGUAUCUAUUGUCUUCUUUGCAAGAACUGUACGGUUUUUCUCAAUUCUACCACAUUUACUUUUCAUUUUCUGAGAACAUGUAAAUGGAGGUUAAUAUUCGAUGCUGGUGAUUUCUAGAAUUCUGCAUAGCAAUUCACUGAUUGGUACAAUACCAAAAGAGUUUGGCUUGUUGAAAAAUCUCAAGGUCCUAGAUUUGGGUGCAAACCAGCUUACAGGACCAAUUCCUCCAGAGAUUGGAAAGUUAUCCAGCAUUGUGAAAAUGUCAGUACAUGUGUAGCAUUAGAAACUCAGCUUUGUUAUCUUAUUUGUGUUUGGACUUCUGCUUAACAAUUGAAGUCUUCUUGUGCUUUAUGCAGAAAUCUUCAAUCGAAUGGGUUGACAGGGAGGUUGCCUCCAGAGCUUGGUAGUCUGAAAUACCUCGAGGAACUUCGACUUGAUAGGAAUAGGCUCCAGGGAACUGUCCCUGCCAGUAAUGGCUCAGAUUUUGCUGAUGAUUUACAUGGAAUGUUAGUGGAAUAAAAUUUAUGAAUCCUUUCCUGUUCUUUGUUUCUUUUUUUUUUUGGUGGGGGGGGGGGGGUGGGGCGUCUUUUGCUUAGUGAAUGUAUCCUACAUAACGUCAAUUUUUGUUUAUUUUUCAACUCAAUCUUUUUUUUUUCUUGCAAUAUAGGAUUUUCUUUAAGGACAGUAACUUUGUUUGCUUAAUAAUUUGUCAGCUUCUUUUUUGCUUAGUAACUUAGUUUUCUUUGCCAUUCUUUUGAAGUAGAACCAAAACUUCUUUUUACACUUUUAAUGAGCAUUGUUUGUAUAGUUCCAUAGCUAAUUUUGGCAAACCGGAUAUAUGAUAUUGAGUACCUCAAUCCAAUUGCAGCCAAAAGCUCAUUUUUAGUCUUACUUUGAAGUUAUUGUGUGUUUUGUGACUUUUGUCAUUUUAAAUUUAUCUAUGUUGGAUUUUUUUUUUUUUUUUGGUUCCUAAAGAGCCCCUUUUUACUGUCUAUCAGGUAUGUCUCCAGUAUGCAGCCAACAGGUUUGUGCCUCUCAUCUCAACUAAAAUUUGUAGAUCUUUCGUACAACUUCUUCAUUGGAAGCAUACCAAAGUGCUUGGAAUAUCUUCCAAGGUAGUGUUUCCCCUGUUUGCUGUUUAGCGUUUCUUUUCCUGUCUUCUUUGCUAAUUCUUUCUGCAUGAUGUGUUUAUAUUCUUCUGCAGGUCAAGCUUUCAAGGAAAUUGUCUGGAUGAUAAAGAUCCUAAGCAGCGCUCUGCAGUACAGUGUGGUAUAUGUCAUAUCCUGUGUGUUUUUCAUGUAAAGCAGCGCUGCUAGAGCCAAGACUUGGAGAUCUUCUCUUAAAUACCUUCAGUUUAAAAACAAAAUUUAAUAGACCAAAUAGUUUAUAUCUUUUUGAAGUGCCUACUUUGGCUCUGGGUGAAUAUAGAUUGAUGUUUGCUUUAUAAUUGCUUUCAAGUUCAAUCAUCUUAAACUAUUAUUGUAAUUUUUUUCUUGGUAAAUUUUCAGAAAACCGUAUCAAAAUGGCCCUCAAGUCACCUGUUUUCAGCAUCUUUGUUAGUACCAACUUUCUUGUUUUUUGACUUCAGUUACAGGUGGUGCUCCAACACCAAAAAGCCAUCCAGUAGCCAAUAGCAGGCACCAUCCUGUUGAACAUAAUUCCAAGCAUCAGACCAGUACUUCAAGACCUGCCUGGCUUUUAGCCCUGGAAAUACUAACUGGCGUGAUGGUUGGUGCUCUCUUACUCGUGGUUCUUGUCUCUGCACUUCAUAAGUGGCAAAACAGACCCUCCAUAAUUAUCCCAUGGAAGAAAUCAGCUAGUGGAAAGGAUUAUACAGCCAUUUUCAUAGGUUAGUGUACAUCUGCUGUUUUUGCGAUUUGAUUUGAAGACCAUUUAUCAGCUUUUAGUGAUAUUUGAUGUGGUGCAUUUAUCCAUAGCUCAAUUUACAUUAUCAUUUUAUUGAAAUGAUUUUACAGAUCCUGAAUCGCUGAGAGGUGUAACAAAGUUAAGCAGACAAGAACUGGAAGUAGCUUGUGAAGAUUUUAGUAACAUUAUUGGAUCCUCUUCAGAUAGCCAAGUCUAUAAAGGAAACAUGAAAGGUGGACCUGAAAUUGCUGUUAUAUCCCUUUGCGUCAAAGAAGAGCAUUGGACGGGCUAUCUAGAGCUUUAUUUCCAAAAAGAGGUCAAAACAUAUUGUGCCCUUCACAUUUAGCUUGGAGGAUUUGAAAUUUGUUUAUUUUUGUUGUGCCAUAAGGAUUUGAUGUUAUGGAUUCAGGUGGCAGAUUUGGCAAGAUUAAAUCAUGAGCACACAGGGAAAUUACUGGGGUACUGUCGGGAGAGCAGUCCUUUCACAAGAAUGCUGGUCUUCGAGUAUGCAUCAAAUGGGACCUUGUAUGAGCACCUCCAUUGUAAGGAAAUCAUUGUUGUCUGUCUCCCUUUUCUCAAAUUUGUGAGAUUUAAUCAUUUCCAAACAUGUUCCAUUUGCUGAAUCUCACUGCUUUUUACUCUGUAGAUGGCGAAGGUUGCCAACUAUCUUGGACACGGCGAAUGAGAAUUGUUAUUGGCAUUGCCAAGGGACUAAAGUAUCUGCAUACAGAACUUCAUCCACCAUUUACCAUAUCAGAAUUGAAUUCUAGUGCAGUAUACUUGACAGAUGAUUUUUCUCCCAAGGUAAAUCCUGAGGCUUACAUCACCUACUAACCAAAAGAACUUGCCUUAGGGUUUGUCUGUUUCACAGACUUCAAGAUUGAGCAUCAAUGGCUAAAUCUCUCUUCCCAAUUAAAGCCAUAAAUUUCAUAUAAAUGUAAGAUUGUUCAAUAUGGUAUUUAAGUAAGGCAGUGGAUACAGUUAUUACCCUGAUCUUGUGAAGAUUAAUGAGUUCUGGCACCUCCCAGCUGGGAAUAGUAGGUGCCAGCUGGGAAUAGUAGGUGCCUUGUAAAAUGUCUGGCAUACUCGCAUGCACAUCAAAAUUCUGCCGCUAUUGAUUAUUGCUUUCUGAAUAAUCUUCCUGAAAAAACUGCUGCAGCUGGUUGAUUUUGAAAGCUGGAAGUCAAUCCAUUCUAGAUCGGAAAAGAAUUCUGGCAGCAUCAGCAAUGAAGGCGCAAUUUGCGUCCUUCCAAAUGGUUUAGAGGCAAGGCAUCUGGAUAUACAUGGAAACAUUUAUGCUUUUGGAAUCCUUCUUCUGGAAAUCGUGAGCGGGAGACCUCCCUACUGUGAGGACAAGGGAUGCUUGGUGGAUUGGGUAAGAACCCGAUGUUUGAAUUUUCCCCCUCUGGCCCUGGUUUCGUAAAUAAUGCAUGGAUCUGUAAAUGGAGAACAAAUAUUUGCCAUGAGUUUUAUGUUUCCUUUUGCCUGUGCAGGCCAAAGAGUAUCUUGAGAUGCCAGAAGUAAUGUCUUAUGUGGUGGAUCCUGAGUUAAAACAUUUCAGAUAUGAAGACCUUAAAGUGAUAUGCGAUGUUGUCAACAUCUGCAUCCAGUCAAGUUCUAACAGUAGAACAUCCAUGCAAGACUUGUGUGCUAUGCUGGAAAGUGGCAUUGACACCUCCGUAUCUGCAGAGAUGAGGGCAUCUUCCUUGGCAUGGGCUGAGCUUGCGCUUUCAUCAUAACUAAUAGGAAGCUGACACUGUAAAUCUGAAUAUAGACUUUAUAGUUUGCCUUUUACCUUCAAUUUUUCCCUCCUUUUUUUUUCCUUCUUGCUAGUUCUUUUAUAGAUUUGAGUGAAGUCAUGCACAUGCGUGCUAUAAGGACAGACAGUCUCACAUAUGACUAAUAUCAAUUAAUUGUAUACCGUUGGUCGGUUAGAGAUUUUGAUGUCAAAUAGUAGAUGAAACCCAUGUUGCAGAAGAUACUUCACUUCUCGAUAAUUGUCAACACUUUUCAACCUUUUUAUGGAGCCAUCGCAAUUCAGUCAGUACUAGGUUAUAUGGCCUUGAAAUGCUACCGGGCAAUAAUUUACAGAAGGAACUUCAGAACACCGGAUCAUUAUCGGAUUAUGUACCAAAUGCUGGCUUUCAGUUGACAGUGAGCAAUGUCAUGCGUGCUAUAAGUUCCAUUACCGCAUGAUGAACAUGUCCCUCUGCUUGUUAGUUACAAGGAGGAGGGACUAGCAAGGAUCAAACCUACGUACAUGGACACGCCUUUAGAACAAAAAAACUGAAGCAACCUUAAAUUGAUGAAAAAUUGAAACCACAUUACAAGCCCCACUUGUACAUACACCUCGUACUCUGCAAUCAAAGGACUAUACUAAGCCCGUGGGAAAAAUUUUGCUGGUGGAUGACAUGCAAAUGAAUUCCACACACAGUCCCACAAAGCUUGAGAGGCCAUCGGCACUAAAUAAUACCCAAAAAGCCCGUAGAUCACAUCUUUAACUCAUUAAAACCCUCAUCAGCUUAGAUCGGUACAAAAUCCUUUUUAAGUGAAUUUUAAAAGCAGCAGCAAAGAGUGCAGGGACGUUCAGUGCUUGGCACGAGAAAAAUGGUUAUCAUUAGGAUUCCUCUUGCCACUAAAAACGGCAAGUGCUUUCCUCACAGGAGGCUGAAGAGGAGCUCUCUUAUCCGUAUGGUGGAUAAAUAUGUCAUCAGAAGCAAAGAUAUCAUCCCCCUACACAACAAAGUACCCCGUGUUCUAAGUCAGAAGGAAGAAAUUGAGAAACAAAAUUAAGAUAGGCAACCAAAAGAUAAUUACUGCAGAUGGGGAGAAAUAAAACAAUUUCGAUACCGCCUGCUUAUUCUUUUUCUUUGUUUUUGGAUACAGAAACUUCUGCGGAAGCUGAUCUUCACGUAAAAUUGGAUUCUUGGUGACAGCAUCUCUGCCCCCUUGAGGUAAAGGCAGGGAAAACUGCAACAUCCCACAAACCAAAACAAGAUAAUUACCAUCAAAUGUAAAAUAAUGAUGCUUAUAUCUGCCAAUUAUUGCCAAAUUCAUUAUAAACCAUAAGAUCAAAUUCAAACACUCGAAAUUCAGCCAUAGAUACUGAUCGAAUCCAGAUAAUUUCUUUUAUUAUUUACCCAAUCAGCCUAAUGCUUCAAGUUUUUCUUCCUUAGUUGUUUUUCUUGUUACUCUCACAAACAUCAACGGACAAAUAAUUGUAUUUAACAAAUCAAAGAGAAGCAUAAAACAACAUCAUUCCAUCUAAUUCAACAGAUAACUAGAACAAAAACAUAGCUGCAAAAUUAGAUUCAUCAACAGUGCUUAAUGAUGCUUAUAAGCCAGCUAACAUUAGCAAGGAUUUAAAAACCAUAAAUCCUGGACUUGAAAAGGCACAAAGGGAGGGGAAAAGAAAAACUAAGGAACCAAUUUCUUGUCUGAAAAAAAUUUACACCAGGGAAAAAUUCCAAUGUUUAAUAAGUCACAAUAAGUGAGCCCUUUUUCCCCCAUUUUCCUUCUCACAACUUAAAAGGUAAUGAAAUUUAUCAUGGUCCAACAUAUACACAAUACACUUCCUAAAAAUUCUUCAAAGAGAAAAAAAUUAACCCAGGUACUCACUUUUGUUCCACGCACUGAUACACGUGGUCGACGUGCUGCAAGUACGACACCAUUUUCACCAACUGUAACAGCAACUUUGCGCAAAGUGCCUCCAUUUCCACAGUUUGGACAGAAAACUCUACCAAUAUCCGUAGUGACCUUGUAGCAUGCAUGGCACUUAAGCACCCACCUAAAGUUACAAAUUUAGACAAAAGUAAGCAUGCAUUUCUCUCAAUUUAUGAGGCCAGAGAAGAACCAUCCAAACCUAACUUAGAACACUGAUACAUGCAGCAAUUACAGGCAAAAUUGCGCUACCACUGAAAAAAAUAAUAAUUAAAACAAAAAAAAAAGAUUGAGGAAAGGCACAGUGACAGAAAGAAGCAAAAGUGUAUUCUACAUACCGGUGCAGCUCUCGGAUUUGCAUUCCUCCGGGUGCUAGGAGGCGCAAACCCAUCUGCAGAAUCACAUUUUGCAUUGCAUAGUCACUAGUUACACAGGCCACGCUUGAUUCAGACAGAGACCGAAGCAUCCAGCUCUGCUCACUGCUAUUAUCAUCCAGUGAUGCACCAAUUCUUUCACUAUUCAGGCUCAAGUUAUCAAGUCCACUACUGAUACCUGUCACUUCGCCUUCGCCUCCAAUGAUAGCACUUUCAGAAUUAUCAGAACUAACUUCAAAAUCAUUGGAAAUGAGCCCCCUAGAGGGUACUUGCAAAUCCUCAUCAGCAUGAAGAGCAACAGAAGAUUCUUCAUCAAGAUGCAUUUGGUGCAAAAUUGCAGAGGCAUCCUUAUCAUUGUCAUUCACUUCACUGGUGGCAUUCUCACCUAAACUCCCAUCAGCAACCUCUUCAGCACAUUCUUCCACUAGCAGCUCAGGACAUUGUGUGUCAUCAACUUCUCCACUUUCUACAUUACCAGAUGCAUCAUCUUUAACAGCUUCAUCAGACAAAGCCUCAUGCAGUUCACGUCUAGCUUUUCUUCUCAGAUAUCUUCUACGUGUACUUCGACUCACAGCAGGCAGCCAAUGCCCAACAUCAUCACCAAAUUCCCCUUUCGUUGCAUCAAUUCCAUCUGCCACCAUCUUCUUCCCGUCAACCUUAGCCUCAACUUUCUUACUCGAGUAUUUCUUUUGCCACCUAGGAUUGCCAUUUGAUACCUCUUGAUUUUCAGAAUGACACUCUCCACAAUGGCCGGUCAGACCAUCUUCCAUAUGUUGAUCUUUGGGAACUACAUUCAGGCUCAAAUCUUUCAGGGGAAGAAUUUUUGACUCGUAGUUUGACUCAUCCUCAGCCACAUGCUCCAAUGCUUCCCACUCUUCCAGAUUAGGAACAUUAGAGCCCCAUCCAGGCAUGUCUUUUUCGGGCAGCCUUUUUACACUAACAGUGUGAAUAGGUGGAGGACUAUCUCUGAGAUGCUGGGUUCCAUGGGUUUGAGCCUCCAACGUACAUGUUAAAGCAAUGAGCUUAAGAUCCACAUCUGAAAGUGUCUGCAGAUCACCAGUUGCCCUAGCAAAGUGAAUAACUGCAAAGUUGCACGAGAGAGAAAUCAAUGAUACAAGUGAGAAUCAUCUAAAGAACAGGAAUGAACUUGUGCAUCUGUUUUAACAGUUUGACCUUUAAGACAAAAUUAGGCACUAAAGUAAACCGCCAAAAUCCACCAAAAGCCUUUUUGUAGCUGAGAUGAACACUAUUUCAUGAGCCAUGAUUACCUCACAUAGAGAUAGGGAAAGAGUAUUAGGGGUUGGGAAGUAUGUGUUUUGGAUUACUCUCCUCCUGAUUUUGUUCAACUCACUGGAAUAGAACAAUGGUUCAGCUACAGAGAACUACAACAUUGUCAAAGUGAGAGAUACCAACAGGAAACAAGAAACACCAUCACCAAUAAAUGAAUCCAGUCAUAAUUACAAGACUUGUCACACAAGGUGCUACAAUAACAAGCUUUAUUGCAUAUCAAUGAAUUAAAAGCAUUUUGCAUCAAUGCCUAGACUUUAUCGUUAUUACUGGAACAGGAAAUCAGGGGAAAAAUCAUGUCUAGAAUUAGCACAGCUCUCCAACUCUUAUUCCAACAAGACCAACACUGCAUCAGGAAUACUGAAACACAACCAUAUACAGCAAAAUCGCAUCCAAAACUUUGGUGACUACCGAAAACGAUGUUAAUAUAUCCCACUUCAAUGAGCUUGUCCAAUUCAGAUUCUAACCAACAAUGAUUCUGCUUGGUCACUCAAAAAUCACUCUGACUAACAAUAACCCAGUUCUGCUAUUCCUAUCCAUCAUUCUAAAUAACCAAAGAAAAUUAACAAUUCGACAUGAACAAAAGUACCCUAAGAAAAAAAGUAAUCUACUUUAUUUCUUGUUUCACUCAUUUCAGCUACUCGCCCCAAAAUUGCAAUAAAAAACCACCUAUAACAGCCGAAGUAGAGAAGCAGACAUACAGCGUUGAACAUUCUAAGCUCAAAAGAACUAAGUAAAGGCUAGCACAAUUGCCAUUCAUAUGCCGAAAAACACAUCCAAUAGCUCGAUUGACAAUCAAAAACCAAAAAAAUAUAUAUAUAUUCGGUCUUUAAUCAAGUACCUUUUUUGAGGGCAUCAGGGGAGGGCUCCAAGGUAUCAACUGAGAAAGGUAGGAAAUUGAGGGAAUGACGAGAGGUGGGGUCACGAAUUUCGCUGAUAACUUCAGAAACCGAAACGAAACGGUCGGCUAUGAGGGCCAGCGAUUGCCCGCCUUGAAUUAUAGCGUUGGCGUCCACUACUGCUACUAAUAUUCCCUUAGUCGACUUGCAGCUCCCAACAGCUAAUCCUUGAGUCGACUUAGGAGAGGCGGAGGAGGUGGCAGAGAUGUGGUCCGGCACUGGCGGCGGUUGAUGCUUGACAAGGUUGCUCCAAGUUGGCUGAGGUGAGGCUUGGACCUCCAUGGCUGUGGACUGUGCGUGUUCGUUGAACCCUCGCUGAGCCCUAGCGACGAAUAUACUGAAAUUAGUGGGCUAUUUGCAUGCUUGGAAAAUUGCGGAAAACGUCCCUCACCUUCGAUGAAAAUAAUUUUCCGUACCUCACAUUUAUAUAAAAUGCUGAUUUUACAUCUCUCACAAAUGUCAGUCAGCUGAAAUUCGUCCAAACCCAACCCUCACAAAAGUCAACCAGCAGUUAGAUUAAUUCGAUUAUUAUUGAUACUUCUAAUGUAGCCAACAAAUUUGUUGAGACACUCAAAGCCAAAGGUGAUUUAGUGAAAGUCUCAUAUAUGUGUUUCCCUGAGAGGAGAAACUAGAAGUAGCUGUUUUACUCAUUUUGGAUAGUCAUUUAUUUAUUAAAAUUUAUCUGCUUGCAUCAAUAAUAUCCAUAAGUUCAAGAACUGUUCCGGCCGCGGCAACCGCUGUCGCAACUCUUUCUUGCCGCCGGAGAGUGGAGUAGUGGAAACUUUUGUCUUUUCUUUCUAUUAAAUUUUUUGGUUGGCGAAGGUGAUCUCGCACUUGAUGCAUAUGAUAACUAAACUACACCCCCAUUUACCCCGGAAAUUGUUCUCUAUGCUGAUUUCAUUGCAGACUGUAAUGACUGCUUAACCCAUACAGCUUUAAACAACCUAAAUGUUGCUGACUGAAGGCCAAUAAGAUAUAAGCAUCUUAUAGAAAUGCAUAAUUCACAUACCAUAAAAAUAAUGCUUCGAACACUGACGACCAGACCCAUAACCUCUAGUCCGGAGCAACCUGUUACAUCUUCAAGAGACGAAAACUAAUGAAUUCUUUCUUUACUAUUCAAAGGUAGAAAAAAGAUGCAACGAUUUGCUAGUAUUGGCCUGGUUGAUUCCAGUGACAAUAAACAUCUUCUGAUAAUAAUGGUUGAGCAAGUUUAAGAAUGACAACGAAGGAUCCAGCCACUGCAGUUUUUGCUGUGAUGAGAAGCGUGGCAGAAUAUGCUACAAUUCUGCUUUGCACAGGGAAUCCCAAAGUAUGCCCAAAUCGAGAUUGCCCCCUGAAACUAUUAUUCCUAUAUGCUCACUGUCCUUCCAAGCAGGAUUGUUCCUGAAGCUAUCAGAUAAUACAGCUGCAAGACCAAUGGCUCCACUUGGCUCCACUGCAACCUUCAAAAUCUCAUAACAAUGCCUCAUGGCUUCCACUAUCUCACUAUCCUCAACCACAAUGAUAUCAUCAACCAAAUCCCGGACGACAGGCCUGCUCAAAAUAAAGGGAGAAUGUUGGCACUUAAUAAAAUCCAUAAUAGUGUACCAAAAAAAAGAACAAAACAUCCAUCGGUUAUGAGGGGAAAAAAUGCCUUAGGAACAUCAUUUCAUAAACAUGGUUAAUGCAUGUAGGAAAGACAAAUUAGCAGAGCAUAUUGAUGAGCAAUAUCUGCAUAAUGGGAACAACAAUUGGCUGAUUAAAAUGUCACAAGUUAAUGCAUGUAGACAUGUUUGUUGACAGGCCUUCAUGUUCAUACCAAAUAAAUUCUCAAAAAACGAUAAAGACUGUGCUCCAUUGGCAGAAAAAGACUUGCAUUGAACCCUUUUCCCUUCUCACAGCAUAGAAAUCAUGGUUACCAUGUGAAUUCUCCAAGAGAAGCUCGAAGCCCAUCAGCUAUGGUUUUCGUUUCAGGCAAUUUAACAAUCUCACCAGCUGCUUUUGACUGAGCUGCAUCAUCUGCGCCCUUAGGUUCAGCUGCCAAAAUUCGAAUGGAAGGUUUUAGGGACUUAGCAGCUAUAGCCACCCCAGAAAUCAAUCCACCGCCUAUAAGAUAGAGGUUACAAAAAUCUGUCAUUUACCAAAACAAAUAUAAAUUGUCACCAGUAGUGCCUUGAAAAUAACAUACCGCUAACUGGGACUAUGAUUGUGUCAAUUUCUAGCACCUGCUCCAAGAGCUCCAGUGAAAUAGUACCUUGCCCACUGCAAAGACAAAGCACGCUGUUACAAUUGUAGAGCUUCCUCUUCUCUUAACUUUAUUCGUGCUAUGUUGCUUGAGCAAAUUACUAUUUGCAUAUAGCACUUGCAACUUUAUACGUAGUUAAAGGAUAAUGCUGUUUGAACUAACCACACUGAGACCAUCCAAAUGGCAAACAAGAAAAAAGGAAAACAACGACAACGGUAACAGAAAGAGACAAGUAAACGAUGAGGAGAACCUUAUAAUUCGUCCAUCAUUAUAUGGAUGAAUCAUCACAGCACCAGUUUCUUGUAGUACCUUUGUUGCAGUUUCCUCCCUGGACUCAAUGGCAGCCUCACUCCAGAUAAUCUGGCCCCCAUAACGCCUGAUAUUCUCAACUUUGCAUUUUGGAGCAUUUUUAGGCACGACAACAUACGCAGGAAUGCCGCGUAUUUUUGCAGCCAGAGAAAGUGCUGCAGCAUGAUUACCGCUAUGUUGGAAUAUCAAAUCAGGCAAUAUUCAGAUAUAGCUAUCGGGGAUAAUAAAAACAAGGAACCAACAAGCAUGGGAAAAACCUGCUAUGAGUUACCACCCCUUUUGCUGCCUGACUAUCAUCAAGUGACAAUAUUGCAUUGCAGGCCCCUCUAAAUUUAAAUGCUCCACUAAAAAUCAGGAAAAAUAAUAGGACCCUAGUUAAUACACAGAGAUGCUCUAAAAAUUGCACUCUUUAAAAUGCUAUAUAAUCACGGACAGAACAAUAAGUUUCAAUGAGACUACCACUGAGCGUAGACUUCUUACCCCUUUUGGAAACAUUCACAUUUAAAAUAUAGCUUUCUUCCACAAAAGGAAUUUAAGGUUUCUGAGGAAAGGACUGGAGUUUUGUGCGCAUAUGAAUUGAUACGGAGUUGUGCUUCUCUAAUGGAAGAAAUAUCAGCAGCAUAUUUCUUAGUGGAUGUUAGACUAUCCGCUUCCAUCCUACAAUGUCAAUGAGAUAUAGACUUUUAAACAUGAUAUUUCAACCAAAUUUAACUUCUCAAACCUCGAAUUUCAAUGUGACCAGUUCAUUAGCAUGAUGAAGGGUCGAAAUCUUGGCAGGAAAUCAAAAAAAUGAAUUGGUGAAAGCUUGCAACAGCUGAAAGUUGAAACAUAGAGAAAAGUAUUCACCACAAUUGUCUUAACGAACAGACAAAGAAGUCAGCAAACACUUUGACAAUGAUAGUCACAUUUUACUAGAACUAUAGAAAACACGAACUAUAAUGUUUCACCUAUAAUCAUCUUAACAAGAUCCAAAGAGGCCAUCUCAUGUAUUUCCUGCAUUAACCCAGAUUAUGAUCAACAAAGGUAUCAGCUUAAGAUAGGUAAAUUAAUCAUAAACCCCAGUAACUUUCCAGUUUAUCAUGCUUCACUACUAUUAUUAUACCAAGAACCAACACAAGAGAUGCAACAAUGAAGCUUCCUAUUACCAUAAGAAGAAAUAAUUAAGCACAAGGAUUUCUUAUAUAGCUAAAGCGAGCCUCACAAAUUGCGAAAUAAAAUAAAAUCUCAAAUUUCAGAAAGGCGAAAAAACAGUAAAGGGUUAUCUAAAGCUACCAUCUUGAAGCAAAUGGUGUUCCUGAAAACCCAGAACAGUGAACCAGUCACAGUCAAUAAAUUUACCAGCAUUUAUGCUACAUGGGGUUCUUUAAUAAUCAGGCUAGUAAUGAAACCCAGUAGGACAAAGCUGUAACAAAUUACCACGACCUUCUUUUUCAAAUACAACAUAGUAUUUCUGCAUAGCAAGAUAAAAAUUGGGAUUCCAGUAAAAGGAAGAGGGAAUAGAAAGAAAAAUGUCAAAGCAGAAUUAGAAAAUCUCUACAAAAGAAAGAUAAUUGUUGUCAGUGGGAAUGCAUUUUCGUAGGUAUCGAAGAACUUACUGCUGCAGAUAAGUAAAAUUUGAAUUCUCUCUCUCCUGGCCUUUGGCUGGGGGAACCGGGGUGGAAGAGGAUCUCUGCUUGCCCUGUAUUUAAGAGAGAGAGAAUUAUUUGGGAAGAGGGUGUUUUUAGAGGAAAAGAGAGAGUUACACGGAAAAAGACAAAGGCGCGAAUUGUUAAGGCCAGAUCUGGCCCGCCUUCGAGGACCUAUAUGAUUUCACCUUGCGAUCGGAUACAAGGGAACUGUUUCACGCCUUCCUUCAGGAGAUGCUAAAUCACCACAGAGAAGGCGUUGACAGGGGAAACUGAAACCAAUAUCACGCCUCUGCUGCUGAAAAGGUCGUAGACAAUCACAGCUCUAGAAAGCGUCUAGUUUCCAAAGAGAUUGUGAUCACGCCUUUGGACUAUAGUUUCUUCCUGUCAUUCGUAAAAAGGAUAAACAAAGCCAUAAUUAAUAAUGAGAAAAUUGUAAAAGUUGAGAAAAUAAACCAACUAAAUGGAUGCUUCACAAGUGAGCAAUCUAGAAGCACUAGCAAAAAAUUGAAGCCUGGAGAUAAGUUUUAUGAAAAUUAUACUCUUAAGUAGGAAUCAUUUAGUAUUAAAACAAUUUUUCAAGGUCAAAAUUUUAUGCUCGUAAAUAAGAUUUUUCUUUUAAUGGGUUUCCCUACUUUCGUAGCCCAACUCCCCAUCUUCAAUCAGCCCAAAAGAAGGAUGUCACUUUGGAACCAAGUUUGAAUGAUGAUUUCUGCUCGAGUUUGUCAAUUUUUAGCGGCAGAUUUCAGUAUAACCUAGGCUUUUGGCCUCCUUUCUGACCCAAAAAAAAAAAAAAAAACUCUUUGAGUUAUAGGUUAAUCCUUCCGUACAAUAUUAGUGUAUAUAUUAGCAGUAGAGGUGUCAAAUAAACCCAUUUAAUUAAUUUUACCCAUACCCGUCAUAUGGGUACAUUAAAUUUUUAUAUAUAGGUAUAAAUGGGUUAUCCAAUUAUACCCAUUUAUUAAAUGGGUAUAAUUGGAUAAUUUAUCAAACCCAAUUAACCCAUUUAACUUACAUUCCCGAACUUCUUUGUAUUUUCAGUUUUCACCGUCAAUCUUCUUCUCCUCCCCACCAGCAAGCCCACUGCUUCCCCCCCUCCCCUUCCUCCAGGCUCCAGUGUUUGAUUCCCCUCUCCCUUCUCCCCGUCUCUGCUUAAUAGAAGGUUUUUGCCCCUUUCAUGCCGAUUCCUGAGCUGAUCUAUGAAUAAACCCGCGGUGUCUUGAAGAUUUUCCCGGAGAAUGUUAAGAGUCUGACCGUUGCUCACCACCUCUGCAAACAGUACCCACAACACAACCACGACUACUGCCAAACUAACCAUUAGAUGCAUGCUACAUAAUUCAUAUUUGAAUUUGAAUUUCACGUUUUGCUGAUGUGACAUAUUUUUAAACCCACUAAUGUUUAUACUGACAGUUUAUGAAACAUUAAUUCAAUUAUUAUUAAUAUUUUUAUAAUUUGAUAUUAUUAUUAUUGUUGUUUUUUUUAAAAAAAAAAAACACUUCGAAUUUGGGUCUGAGUAAAAGCAUCACAACAGACAUCUAUAUAAUUUUUGAAAACAACAGUUUGCAAUUUAUAUCAUAUACUAGUACAAGAUGAUAACACUCCAAAUUAGAGCAUGAUAUCAGCUUCCCUCCUGCAUUUUGGUUAUGAGACGUAUCUUUCCUGGGAUAAUAAUAAUAAUAAUAAUAAUAGAUAGCGUUUACUAAAUUUGGAUUAGCUGCUUGCAACUAAUUGGUGACUUCAAUUUGCUGUAGAUUAAUUAAACCGGUAUUUGGUCGAGUUGAUGGUUAUGUUUAAGGUUUUAGAUUCGGGUACGUAACAAGAAAUAAUCUGAAAUAGUUUCUUGGGGAGAAAGUAAGAUAAUCCUUUUAUGCUGCCGUAUAAGAGAUUGAGCCCGGCUAGAUAAUAAACAGGAGGAAAAAUGACAGAGACCAAAGUUGACCUUCUAACCAAACAUUAUAUAUUUAUUCGGCAAAGUUUCGUAUAUAAAGAGGAAGACAAGGGAAAAGAUCUUUUUUGUUUUUUUUGGUGGGAACAAGGGGAAGACAAUAGACAUUUUGACAGAAAGAAAGUUGACUUUUUUCUUCUUUUGGUAAAUAAAAAUUUAAGCAGAUUCAACUCCAAUCAGAAUCACGGGUUAAGGCAUGUCACCGAAAUUAUAAAUCGUUUACAAAAACUUUUACAAAUCACCCACUAACACAACUUUCAUAUCGAUAGCAAAAUUCGAACACAUGACGAUUUAUGAAAAAGUAGAUCGUUCUUGUUAAUUGAGCCAAUCUAUAUUAACAAAGAAGAUCGAGUGUUCUUUGUAUCUGGACGGUUUUUUGAGAAAAAUACAAGGACGGACACUUCAAUCGAAAGGGAAUAGCCGAUUAGCAUACAUUUAUGCAACAGAACUACUGCUAGACUAUUGCGGAAAAACAUUAAUAAGUCAUAUAUUGCGGAAAAACAUUAAUGGACGGCUUUAAUUAAAUGAAGAACAUAUGAUCACUAAUGAAGAAGUCAUAUAUCAUCCGCAGACAAGGUUGAUGGGAACCGAGAGAGAGAGAGACCAAUCUUUAACAUUAAGAAGAUUAGUCAUCAGACUGGUUUAAUUUUUAUUCUCAAUCUAAAGUCAAUGAAUGUUGCAGUAAAGUUGAUUACUACAACUUAUUAGCUAAUAAUUUGAUUGCAAUAGUUGUUUCUGGGGAAAAUAAUUAAAUGAACUAGGAUCAUCUGGGGUGUUCAUUUUCGCCCAAGUCCAAAGACGUAUGAGAACAAAAGAAUAAUCAGAAACAGAGUAAAGACCAAGUGAUCUAGGUACAUAUUUGAUUCCUUCGAAUUGAUAAACGAAGUGAUUCCUUCGAAUCUAUCUGAGUCCGAAAUGAGGAAUCUUUCUCCCUGCUGCAAAGGAGUUGAAUAUUUGAUUACGGCCAGCUUUGUAUGAAGCCUGCCCAGGUACCGUUUUCAGUACUUCAGCAUAUACAGGCAGGCUACACCUGACGUUGCCCAACUCAAAUUGAUGGCGAUAUGAUUCCAAUUUAUUAGGGACUAUUGCAGGUUAGUCUGUGGUAAGUUGAAUAUCGUUCAUAGAAACCUACUGUUUGAGAAACCACGCCAUUGGUCUCGAGCUUCACCUGGAAUGUGUUUAGUUCAGCUUUGACUUUUAAAUGCAGAUAUGAAUUUCCAAGAAAACAUACAGAAACCACAACUUUGGCUGACCACUUCGACAAGAAAGGCCUGGUUGUUACAAUGCCAAAAUAUCAUGCCUAACUUUUCGAUUAUCAGUAACGCAUUAAAACAAAAGGAAAAAUCAUUCAAAACGUCUCUUACAUCUCGUCAAAUGAAUUUUUUGUCCUUCCUUUUUAAAAUGGUAACUUACGUUCCUUAAUUAAGUUACAUCCCAUUUACAGUAAAGUAAGUAAAUGAGACAGAAAAUUUUAAUCAUUCAAUAAAUGUUUUUACUCUGAAUCUAUUAUGUGACUUAGACAUGGUCAUUUUUUUAGAAAUAGAAAGGUUAAAUACCAUUUAUAGUACAUUAAAUAAUCUGAGUAGGAUAUAUCUUGAACCAUAUUCAUUUUUACCGAUAACAAAGCGAGAUCUAACCCAAUUUAUAUUUAUUUUUGUCACUAAAAAAAUAAGAUAUGAUCUUUUUCUACAUAAAAAAUGAUUGCAUGUAUGAUUUUAAACUUAAAAGUGGUCGAAAACUUAAGUUGGAACAAAAAACUGAUAAUCUGAAUUUGUAAGGAUGUAAAGUUAACAUUUAAAAAAUGAAUGGUGAAAAAAGUCAUUUAAUGAAGUGUGAUGGACGUUUUGAAUGAAUUUCCCUGAAAUAAAUUAACGUCCGUCAAUAAAAGAAAUAGUUAUAUGCAUCAUGAUUUCGAUCACUAACAUACUUAAUGACAUACUUUUUAUCUUGUGUAUCAUUGUUAAAAAUCCAGAGAAGAAUCUGUCAAUCUUAGUUUUUCCCCGGAUGUGGCAUGCAAAAAUCAGUAGAGAUUUCGCAUGUCUUCCAUUUUCCUUUGUAAAUGGAACUAGUAACACAUACCUUCACAUCUUAAUUAAAGUACAUAAUUCUAAAUUUCUGAUAAAAUUUUGAAAUUCUAAAACUUCCAUCCAAACCUAUUGGUCUGACCUCAUGGCGGCUGAAAUGGGUACCUCCAAUUCAAUAAUUCACAGCGCAUUAUCCUAAAGUUAAUAAAAUACUACGUGAAAAGAAUAUGAUUAAACAUUUAUGCAUAAUGUAUUAGUGGAUGGGCCUGCUUCAAAGUCAAAACGAUACUCAACAAGCCCGGAAAAUAUGGAUCUCGGGCCAAGCGCUAGAGGUCCGCUUUCAAUGGAAGAAAACCGUAUCAACUUUAUGCUUAAUCCUCACCAGCUAAGCGUUAAUCACGCGCACUGAUGGACCCGACAUGCAACUUCACCUCAUCCUUUGGUUACGAUGCUUACAUCAUCGCAAUCGCACAUUUAUGAUGAUCGCAAAAUUCUGAUUUGGACCCAGUAAAUCAUAGCCGUCGGAUGUCUGCGCCAGAAAAGCAUAAGAGUUUUAUGUGGCGUUCAUUUCUGCACUCUUUGCUUUCGCAACCCAACUACUGCUACUCCCCAAAGUAAACAUAAUCACGAAAGUGUCCAUGUUCACAUGUUUAAGGGAGCCACUAAUUUGGAGAUGUUAAAUAAUGGGGGACCAAAUUAUUUUGUAUUGGAUUUUCAUUAAGUUGUUGAUUUGCUUAUCUGCACUUAAUGCGCUGAUAUGGAUUAUCUACUGAAAGAAGUACUGUAUUUGUUUCGCUUUAUCUUUGCACCUUUAAGAACAUGCAUUAUAUUUGCAACAUUCUAUGACAUUAUGAUGUCAAAGAAUUUAUCAAACGCAUCUUGAAUCUUGAUUAGGAAUAUACUUGUGAGCCCAUUCGAGUUACUGUCUUCUGGAGUUUUAAUAGAAAAAUAUGACAUAGUGAUUUGAUAUAUAUAAAGUAAGAAGAUAAUUGAUAAAUGUAUUCAUGAAACGUAAAAAAUUUUUAGAAAAAAAGGCAAUUCAAACAAAUCAGACCGCCUAUCAUUAAUUUGGUUACAAUAUUUUUGUUAGGAUGCUUUAGGUGUACAUAUUUCUUAGCGUAAAUAGAAUAAUGAGUGGUAUACUCUAUUUUUAAUAUUUUAAGUUAUUAGUUUCAGAAGAUGUUACCAGCAUCAAUCUCUACUAUUGAGCAAAUAUGAAUCACAAAUCUUUACCAUUGAUCGAAAAUGAAACACCACUUUCUCCAUUUGAACAAAGGUGAAGUAUGAGUAUCCACCUUUUAGUUAUCAAACAAAUAGAAAAUCUCGACCUUGCAUGAUUUUUAGAUAUAUGCUUAUGUUAUUAAACUCUCAUUGACGCAGGUUAUUUCUUCACAAAAUAUUUCAUUUUUUCACAAGUUAACCUUUUGAGUAAUGAUAAAAUAUAAGUAUAUAAUAUUGAGCAAUCAAUGCGCACGAGUCUAUCCUCUCGGUCAAUCUUUGAAGUAAUAGUUUUCUUUUAAAUUCAAUUUAUUACUUUAUGCAAUAUUACAAAAUUUAGGGAAAGAAAUUGGUUGGAUGAUAAUACAAAAGAAAGAGAAUGUAAGUAGAAGAUUCCGAAUUUGAAGUCAUUCACUUAAAAAAAAAAAAAAAAUCAAAAUCGUGCCUCUUGAUAUUCUCGGGAAGAAUUAUUUGUCAUAAAUACUAGAUAAUGAAUUACAUCUCGGUCGGUUGAAUGGGUCUUAGAGACCCCGUUAUCAAAACUAAUGAGAAGGAUCCAUUUGUCAUUUGAAAUGAAUUAAAUAUUUUAUACCUUAUUUCUCCGUCAUGUGUGAAAGUCCGGCGGUGCGUUUUGCUUUAAAACCCAUACGCAGCGCGUCAGUAGUAUAAAGCCACACGCAAUUCGAAAACAAGCAAACACCGCCAUUAACCAAAACAAGCGAAAAGCUCUCCUGAGAAUUUCAGAACUCCAUUCUCCAGCAGCCAAAAACAACAAGGAAGCAAAGAAGAAAUCAGAGAAGGGCUAUUGAGAUCCAUUAUGGCUACCAAGUUUCUGUCGCUGGCAUGCAUAAGAAAUGAAAGCAGGGAUUUGUCUCCGAGGCCGCACUAUCCAUCAAUGCCCAGGUAUCCCAAAGGGGUUUCUUCUGAUGAAGAGAAGAACAUGCAGGGAUCAGAAUCCAAGGCUUUGUUCUCCGUUAUAGGCAUGAAUUGCUCUGCAUGUGCUGGCUCGGUCGAGAAAGCCAUCAAAAGGCUUCCAGGGAUCAAAGAAGCCGUGGUUGAUGUCUUGAAUAACAAAGCCCAAGUCAUGUUUUACCCCAGCUUUGUGAACGUGAGUUACCCUUAGGCAUUCUCUUUUUUUUCUCGGGCUAUGUCUUUUUAUCAUGCAUGUUUUGCAAAAUUGGGAAAAUUAGUGUGUGCAUUGCUAUUCGUCUGUUUAUGUAUUUUUGGCUUUUUUUUUAGGUUUAAUUAAAUUGUGAUAAGGCGAAAUUCAAUUUUCCCUUGUGGGAUUGCAAUUGUGCAUGUGGCUUAAUAUAAUUCUAUCUUACGUAGUUUUGCUGCUACAAUUUUGGGAUCAGAAGUUUUAAACGUUUGAGAUUGUUUAGAUUUUGCUGCAUUUAGUUAAGCAGCUAUAUAAACUACAAAUUAUACAAUUUAAUUAAAAAAACGUAAGAUUUUUGCGAUAGCACUGUCUACCUAUUCCUUUUUAUAAUUAAAAAAGGUUAAGGUAGUGGUUGCAAGCAGUUGCUGAAUUUCAAAGCUAUGGAGAAUCAAUAAUAUUGUUAGUGGGACAAUGCUUGCACUGCUGGAAAAGUCUAUGCUUUACUGAGAUGAGUCCUCACCGGAAUUACAGCCGCUUGGUGGUUUCAAAAUUUUUUUUUUGUUCCCUCUUAGGAAUCUGGAAAUUUCAGUAGGAUAACUUUUAGUUUAGUUUGGAUACAUUGGCGGGCUUUGGGAAUAAUAAAUUUGAUUUUGACCAGAAAAGUCAAAGAUUACACAAAUUAGAGUAUACAUAAAAGAUCUGAUGCCAAUCAAGAGUUGGCUUCUUGGUCUAGUUAAUAGUGAUGGACGUUAUGGUAAAUUGAAACUCAAAGUGGUGGCUAGAUGCUCCUGGCCUUGCUUGUAUGGAUGUUAUAUGGUUCAUUGCCCAGAUUGAAAUGUUAAUUUUAUCAGGCAGCUUAGUAAGACUAGAGAGAACUUUUCCUUUCUUAUCUGCUAUAUUUGGUUUUGAAUUGGUCGUUAUCAACAUAUACACUUAGAACUUCAUGAUAAUUCAUAGAGCAUGAUAUUCUUGAUGGGUAAAAGAUAAUAUUUGAAUGCACCAUAUAUGUUUGUAAUGACUCGCUGAAAAGAUCUUUAAGGCCUGAGACACCAAAAACAGAUCCUGCACAAAUAGAAAACUGUGGACUAUAUGAAUUGUGAAGCAUAUUCAGCGGCACUUUGUGAUAUUAAGUGGACUUGAACCUUCAUUCAUAUUGCAGGUUGAUGAAAUCUGACCUAUUGUUGGUAUUUCUUAAAUCUUUCAGAAGCAUACUGACAUGUAUGUUGUGGUUUUAUCCAAAUAUUCAGAUGAAGCAUCUAUUAAGUUGAGCAAUGUAAAUCAGAAAAUGCAAUGGAAUCUGUUAGAUCAUUAUUAAGAUUGUGCAUAUGAACUUUGAGCACCUCGGGUACAUCUUUAUUACCCACUUCAGACAUGAGUUUUCCUUUUUAGGAGUAAUAGACACAUUAAACAAACUCAUUUGAGACAACUUAAAUGUCUUGAUAUACAAGAAGUGAAUUGAAAUUUACUUUUUAAACAAGUGUAGUCCAGAAGUGUAUAAUAUGUCUCUUAAAUCUCUCUGGCUAUUCACAAUGUAUAUUGCCAUUCAGGAGGAGACAAUCCGUGAAACCAUUGAAGAUGUUGGAUUUCAGGCUACACUAAUCGAAGAAGAUGCAAAUGAGAAAUCCACUCAAGUGUGCAGGAUAAGCAUCAGAGGAAUGACGUGCACUUCUUGCUCAAGUACUGUUGAAUCUGCAUUGCAGGUUAUUCCGGGAGUGCUGAAAGCACGAGUUGCUUUGGCAACAGAAGAGGCUGAAGUCCAUUUCGAUCCAAAAAUUUUGAGCUGCAAUGACCUUUUGCAAGCCAUAGAAGAUACUGGGUUUGAAGCCGUCCUUGUUAGUACCGGGGAGGACAGAAACAAAAUACAGUUGAAAGUUGAUGGUAUACGCUCUGAAAAUUCGAUGAGGAUAAUUGUAAAUUCUCUUCGAGCUCUACCAGGAGUCGAAGAUAUAAAUAUUGAGCCUGAACUGCAGAAAUUAUCCCUUUCAUACAAAGCAGAUGUGACAGGACCAAGAAACUUCAUGAAAGUGAUUGAGUCAACUGGAUCAGGACGCUAUAAAGCAAAAUUAUAUCCUGAAGGGGGAGGAAGAGAUGCACACAAGAAGGAGGAAAUUCAACAAUAUUACAAAUCAUUCCUCUGGAGCUUGGUUUUUACGAUUCCUGUUUUCUUAACCUCCAUGGUUUUCAUGUAUAUUCCAGGUCUCAAGCAUGUACUAGAUACCAAAGUUGUCAACAUGCUCACUGUUGGGGAGGUAUUGAGGUGGGCAUUAUCUACACCGGUACAGUUCAUCAUAGGCCGACGAUUCUAUACUGGCUCAUAUAAAGCAUUACGCCAUGGAUCUGCUAAUAUGGAUGUUUUGAUUGCUCUAGGAACAAAUACAGCAUACUUUUAUUCAGUCUACUCAGUAGUGAGAGCUGCAAGCUCUCCAAAUUUUGAGUCCACUGACUUUUUUGAGACUAGUUCAAUGCUCAUUUCUUUCAUUUUACUGGGCAAGUAUCUUGAGGUUUUGGCAAAGGGGAAGACAUCUGAUGCCAUUGCCAAACUCAUGGACUUGGCUCCUGAGACAGCAAUCCUUUUAACCCUUGAUCAUGAAGGAAGUGUGAUAAAUGAAGAAGAAAUAGAUAGCCGCUUGAUCCAAAAGAAUGACGUGAUUAAAAUCAUCCCUGGUGCAAAAGUAGCUUGUGAUGGAUUUGUCAUCUGGGGACAGAGCCAUGUAAAUGAGAGCAUGAUUACUGGAGAAUCAAGACCAGCAGCUAAAAGAAAGGAUGAUGUUGUUAUUGGAGGAACAGUAAAUGAGAAUGGGGUGCUACAUAUUAAGGCAACAAAGGUUGGAUCAGAAAGUGCUCUUUCCCAGAUUGUUCGACUUGUCGAAUCUGCUCAAAUGGCUAAAGCUCCUGUGCAAAAAUUUGCUGAUCGCAUAUCAAAAUUCUUUGUGCCUCUUGUAAGUGUAAUAUUGAUUAUUAAAUCCAUACUAUUCAACAUGAAAUUUAAAUUUUUUUACUUGUGAACAGUUGACAACUAUUGGUGUUUCACAAUCCACAGGUAAUUGUUCUAUCCUUUUCAACUUGGCUUGCCUGGUUUUUAGCUGGAAAGUUCAGUGGCUACCCAAAGUCAUGGAUCCCAUCCACUAUGGACAGCUUUCAGCUUGCCCUCCAAUUUGGCAUAUCUGUCAUGGUCAUAGCCUGUCCUUGUGCCCUUGGUCUUGCUACUCCAACUGCUGUUAUGGUUGGUACUGGAGUUGGUGCUUCUCAGGGUGUCCUGAUUAAAGGUGGUCAUGCAUUAGAAAGUGCACAUAAGGUUAGAAACUGUACAAUUGCUCCUGUUGAUUGGAGAAAAUGACUUGGAACUUAAAAGAAGAACACCAGUCUAAUGUGGUGUUGAAGAUGUCCUUAACUGCUCACUAUCACCGUAACUUUGCCUUAUUUAACAGGUGAACUGCAUAGUUUUUGACAAGACAGGGACUCUCACAAAGGGCAAGCCAGUGGUUGUUAGUACAAGGCUUUUGAAAAAUAUGGUACUUCGAGAAUUUUGUGAACUGGUUGCUGCAGCUGAGGUAAAUUCUUGUCAAAUUUGAACUGUUUAACUUGAGCUGAGUAGACAACCUGUAAGGCUGUAACCAACAUUGUGGCAUAACUGAGAACUUGUUUACUGCCUCUUCAUGUGCUGCGGCUGUCAUAUUCUUAUUGUGUGUGAAGUACUUCUGUUUUGGUUAUACUAUAGUGAGUUAACUGUUUGAAAUUUGACGCUUGUACUUUUGAAAUUUGAAACAAAAAAACAAUAAUCUGUUUUUGGAGACUUCAAAAAUAAAACAAGAAAACCAAAAGGAACUAGGCAAAAGAAGCUAGAAAGCAUGGCUGCUGUUCGAUUAAACCAAAGCUACAAAUAACAAAACCCACUACACACUCCAAAAUUAAAAGUUGACUGUUUGAUGUUUGCUGUAAUUGAUCAGGUCAAUAGUGAGCAUCCUUUAGCGAAGGCAAUUGUUGAAUAUGCUAAAAAAUUUAGAGGAGAAGAUGAGACAAAUAUAUGGCCUGAAGUGAAGGAUUUCGAGUCCAUAACCGGCCAUGGUGUGAAGGCUGUUGUUAGAAACAGGGAAGUUAUUGUGGGAAACAAGAGCUUAAUGUUGAAUAACAACAUUGGUAUUUCACUUGAUGCUGAAGAAAUCCUAUCAGAAACUGAAAGCUCAGCUCAAACAGCAAUUCUUGUAUCAAUUGAUCACGAACUAGUUGGAGUUCUUGCCAUAUCUGAUCCACUGAAACCUGGGGCUCAAGAAGUCAUUUCCAUUCUUAAUUCCAUGAGGAUCAAGACUAUAUUAGUUACUGGAGACAACUGGGGAACAGCUCAUGCUGUUGCCAAGGAAGUUGGAAUUGAUACUGUUAUCGCAGAAGCCAAACCCGAGCAUAAAGCAGAGAAAGUUAAGGAAUUGCAGGUAAAGAUAGUCAAGUCUGCUUUAAUAAAUGAUUAUGUACUCUCUGCAUCCUUUUUGAAACAUGGCUUGUACUUUGUAGAUAUCUAGUUAUAGUGCAUUUGUGUACUUAAAUUUGGAUGCAUUUGUUUAUUUAAAUUCUACAUGCCCAUUCUCACAUUGCCUAUGCAAGCAUUGUUUUUACGCUUGACACAUUUUUAGGCUUCAAAUUCUGUUGUGGCAAUGGUUGGAGAUGGAAUCAAUGAUUCACCAGCGCUUGUAGCAGCUGAUGUUGGGAUGGCUAUUGGUGCAGGAACAGACAUAGCCAUUGAAGCAGCUGACAUUGUUCUCAUGAAAAGCAACUUGGAAGAUGUCAUUACUGCCAUAGAUCUUUCCAGAAGCACCUUCCGCCGAAUCCGUUGGAACUACAUCUGGGCUUUGGGCUAUAAUCUCCUAGGCAUCCCAAUUGCUGCUGGGGCACUUUUUCCAUCAACUGGAUUUCGGUUACCACCAUGGAUUGCUGGAGCAGCAAUGGCGGCCUCUUCUGUGAGCGUUGUUUGCUGCUCACUUCUGUUGAAGAAUUAUCGAAGACCCAAGAAGUUGGAUACUUUAGAGAUGCGAGGAAUAACUGUGGAAUGAAGGAUGCAAUUAGUUAUUGACGUUUAAUUCCUGAGUUGUAAAUAUCCAUAUGGUGCCCAUGGAUUUACUUCAGAAUUCAGAUCCACUUUUUAGGCUAGCUUGUAUACAUGAAAAGGAAGCAAACCUGUAAAAGAAGCAAGGCAGCUUUCUAUUUCAUGUUAGCAAGUUCUCUUUCGUUAGUUUUAAUGUACCAACGCUAUGGUUCUCCAUUGCAAUUUGCAAUUCCGUCUCCUUCUAGCAAGCAUCUUACUUUCUUUUACGAUCCUUCCUAGCAUUAUUAUUCAUGUGUACAGCAAGACGUGUCCCAAAUCUACUGUUUUGUUAAUUUGAUGCUGUACAUGAUCUUGGGGAAUUCAACAGAUUUGCUUACACAUUUUACAGCUAGAAACUGCUCAUGCCAUAACAGUAAUGCUCCAUUUGGCGCAUAAUUUGGAUAUGAGAAGAAUCUCAUUUGAAACAGUUCUCCAGACUGGGAUUUGGUCUAAGACCAAUCCUUUGUGUUCUCAGCCUCUCGGCACUACGAUAGAAUGAAAGUGGGAUUGUUAUUGGAUGGUCAAUAAAAGCACCCGACCAGUGGCAACAUCAACCACAUAAUAAUAAGAUUCCUCUAUCAAAUUCUUGCCUUUUUCUUUCCCUUACCCUUUUCUUUCUUUUUUCUUUUUUUUUUCCCUGUAGUGUAUGUAAAGAUUGGCUAGAUCGAGUGCAUGAUUGGGUAAAAGGUAGAAACCAAUCAAUCAUGCAAAUUUAUGACGCAGAAAAUGGAAUUUGCUUGAGAAAUAACCUAUCUUCUUGGUGACUCUCAUCAAUUACCAAAUGCAUGCGGGAGAGUUUAACGUGGCGAAGCAAAAACGAGAGAGACCUGCAAUUUUAGUGCGAACCGUUAAAAGGUAACAUGAGACGUCUCAUUGGUACGCUGUCCAAUUUAUUAUGUAUAAAGGGCUGAUCAAAAGUAAAGGGCCAAAGAGUUUUUUGCUUGAGGAAUUCUUAAUUCAAUGUGCGGUUUCAGGGUGGAACGCAACAGCAACAGCAACACACACAGCAAGGGAGAAUCAAAGAAAAGCUGUUAAGAGACAAACAGAAAGAUAACCCUUCUUUCUUACCAUCAGAUAGUGAGAUUUCAUUCCAGGCUUAGCUAAUUAUUGGGAGCAUAUAUACACAAAUGACAAGGUGUGGCCAAGCAAGCUGCGCACGGCAGCUGUAUCUUUGCUUCAGUUGGAUUUUCAAGCCUGAACAGUUAUUUUCAGUCAUCUGAAGAUCAAUGGAUGCACUUUCAACUAGGUAAAGUGUUCUAUAAAUCAAGACAUCUUUUUCUCUUGAGUGGAAUUCAUGUUUUAUCCACUGAUUUGCUCUUGGAUGUUGGAUCUUUUCAUCAUCCAUAUCGUCCUUUUUUAAAUCAAUCUUGCUUACUCUUACUUCUCACGUUCCUUGUCAUGGUUCCAUAAUUUCUGUUUUACUCCGGGGAAAAGGAGGUGGGAGGAUAGUUCUAGUGCUUUGAACAAUCAGCAUUUUGAUUGAAUGGGUUAUGCCAUUCACUAAAGAUUAACACCUUGUACGGUGAUUGAGAAAGGAAAGAUUAAUUUCUAGUAAGAACUUUUGGACCUCUUUUCUUACCAAAAUGGUUUCUUAGAACAAAAGCUUUUCUUCAUUGAUGCUGCUACAGUGGAAUUUCUCACAUUGCAGAUGAUAUGACUGCAGUAACGCAUAAAUGGGAAUUGUACCAUAUUGUCUAAAAGAAUUUAUCACUAAAAAAAUAUUAAUUUUGUAUAUAUUAACAAUGUAUACACUAUAUCACAUGUACAAAAAUUGAGUUCGAAUUCAAUUUAAAAUUAAGUUGCAUUGCUAGUCUAUAUAUAUAUACAUACCAUCAAUUAGCUGGCAUCGCUAGCGUAUGUAUCUAUUGUCAAUAUAUACAAAUUAAUUUCAAAGAGAAUUAUCCAAAAGAUCAUAACCUAACAAACACAUGUAUCGUCUCCUCUUGAAAGAUCACACCCAAUGUAAAACAAGAAAUGUGCAGAGCAUUUCUAUAGAUUAUUUUUCCCACUGUUUUUCACCAAAUUGAUAUGUAGGUCUUCUAAUCAAAGCUUUUUUAUUAUGAAGUCUUCCCUUUCGUUAAUGCCUUGUGUUCCUUUCGUACCUAAAUUAUCUUACUUUUUUUUUUUCUUUUCACUCACAUUGCCGGGAAAGUGGAAAUCUACACUGGAAGGAACCAUACCAUGACAUGAUUGGGUUCAUUUUCUAUUUUGAUAAAAUAAAAUUCGAAAGAGAGUGAUUAAGCAUUUUCUUGUGGUAAUUGCUCACUGCAUUAUUGGCUGGGCCUCCUAUAAAGUAAAACAGCUUUGGGAAAGUUGGGUUACGGGCCCAGCAACAAAAGGCCAAAGUGUUAACAAACUUUUUUAUCAUUAUCCAGGAAAAGUCAAGCAACCCAACUACAUCCUGUACCUCCAAGAGCGUAUAUACGAGUCGGGUACUCGUCUCGUGUAUCAUUUGGCUGAUUUGACUUAUAUUUUAUGAGUCUGUCAUUUUCUGACUCUUAACUACUUCGCAUAUCAGCGGAUACCCGAUCGAGUACCUGCUGAGAUAGAAUCGGAUCAACGAGCACCCGUCCCACUCCACUUAUUAUUUUUUUUAAAAAAAUGAUUUAUACUAAUUUAAAUUUGUAUUUUACACAAUCAUCUAAGAUAAGAUUUAAUGAAGAUUUUUUUCCAAAAAGUCUCCCAUCAAGAAACAAGCAUGCGAAAAGAAUACAGGAAAAAGUAAAAAAAAUUAAAAGAAUUCAAAAUCAAUAAAAGUUUGAAAUAAGUAGCACAUUUUUUUAAUAUAUGGUCCAUAUUAAUUAAACUCUUUUCUAUAAAAUAUAAGAUUAUGACCUCUACAAAUAAAUCUUGUAAAUAAACUAUAGUAUCUCAUAUUUGUAAUGCAAUGUAUUUAAUGGAAUUGCUUAUUUAGUUCUAAAAAUAUUAUUUUAUAGUAUGUGCAUAAAAAUAAAAAAAUAUAGCAGGUAAUUUUGGGUAUCCGCGGGUUUUUAAUUAUGUUACUCUAACCCUCCCCACGUCUAAACAGAUAUCCGACCCUCUUUUGACCCGAUCAAAAUAAUAUGGAUUUGGUAUCCUAAUUUUUGGAUCGGAUCGGAUCAGAUAUGACGAAUUUUGGGGUUAGCGAGUAAUUUUGCCCACCCCACCCCUGACAUACAGAAUGUAAUAUAGCAAGAGCAUAACAGGGAAAUAUGUAACAAAAGAUCUUUUGCCCAAAAUAAUUGAAUUAGUAUGAUGUUUUAUUAGUAGUAUCUUUUAUUUAAACAAAAUAUAAUUCAAUUUUUUAGCGUACAUCCAAAUGUGAGACAAAUAAUAAAAAAAAUUAGAGCAAUUCAAGUAUGUAAAUGCACUUGUAGAGGACAAAUUUACCAAAAGAAUGCAUGGUCUGGUCAAGAAUAGAUUCUGACUGUAACAGUACUAGUGCAUGGUCUGGUCUAAGAUUGAGAAAAACGAAGAAGACAGCAAUGGGAAUCCAUCAAAUCAAGUCGGAAUCAUCAUAAAGCUACUUUACUUUCAAUGCAACUGAAAAUACUCACCCUGCAGAUUAAAUAAACAACAGGACAAAGAUUUUGAUGUAGUCAUUAUCAGAUGGAGCUUGAACUUGCCGGUGACUCGUUCAUGUGUAGUCAUAAUCAAAGUGUUCAUUUAAAAAAUUUUACCAAAAGGGUAAAUUUUGCACUAUAAAUAUGUCAAAGAUCAAGAUGAAGCAUUCCUCAGUGUACUGAAUGUAGGUUGCAAUCAGCGGUAUGCACGAGAAAUGAGGGUAGAGAGUAGGAUUCGUUACCAAGGCUAUUCUUCAAUGCCCGAGUACCCAAAAGGAGUUUCGUCUGAUGAAGAGAAGAACAUGCAGGAAUCAGAAACCAAGGCUUUGUUCUCAGUCAUAGGCAUGACCUGCUCUGCAUGUGCUGGCUCGGUUGAGAAAGCCAUCAAAAGACUUCCGGGGAUCAAAGAGGUGGCAGUUGAUGUCUUGAAGGAUAGAACGCAGGUCAUUUUCUCUCCAAGUUCUGUCAAUGUAAGUCAACAUUAAAGGCAUUUUAGUUCUGUUAUAUUCUUGACAUGAGAAUGUUUUAGCCUGUGUUUAGUUCCUAGCUUUGCACUCCCACUAAGUUUCCUUCAUUCUCUUUUAUCCAUAUGUUUUAUAGUUUAUACCAUAUAUAAAAAUCAGCGCUGUUUUCAUCCCCAUCAACUUGAGGGCCAAUUGUGAAUCUGAAUUUUCGUGUAUUUGAAAGCAAAAUUUUGCAGAAAAGACCAUCAGCUAUGAAAAUUAAAUAGAGUGCAAGUGUAAAAAGCCCUCUCUAAAUUGUGGUGAAAUGGAGAAAUUGAAAAGAGGAUAGUGCUAUGGUGCCGAUAUCAUUAGGUAACUUAAUAUAAAAUAAUAGUAGUUGAUCUGAUGAAGAUCCGAUUCUCUUUCCUUUUGUAACUGUUUACAGCUUCUGCAUCCCAUUUUUUGUGAGUUAAAUAAUGCAUCAAAGUUACAUGCAUGUAACUUUUCAAACUAAAUCGGUAAGAUAGUCUUAUAAAAUAGUAAGUUUUAAGUACUUAAUAAAUUUACUUUUUUUAAUAUUGAAUCUUACCAUCUAUGUAAUGAAUUUUAAUAUAUAUUUUUUUUUUGUCAAACUUACUCACUUUAGCAAUAGGUAAGUUUCUGAUGUAAAUUAGAAAGUUUGUCCAACAAAGUAGCAAAUUUCAAAAGUUACAUUUCUAACAAAACUUACUAUUAUUUUGAUUAAACUUACUAGUUUAGUUGUAUGUAAGUUUUUCAAGUAAAACAGUAAGUUUGUACAAUAAAAAAGUAAAUUUCAAAAAUUACCUUUUUAUUAGCCAAAUUUAACAUUUAUCUGACAAAACUUACUACUGAUCUCAUUAAACUUACUGAUUUAGCUGCAUGUAAGUUUUUCAAGUAAAAUGGUGAGUUUGGACAAUAAAGUAGUAAGUUAUAGUCAUCCAUAUAAGUUACCUUUUUAAUGCACAAACUUUCUAUUUACCUUCCAAAACUUACUAUAAUUGUAAAGAAUUUACUAACCUAUCUUUAAGUAAGUUUCACAAAUAUAUUGGUAAGUUUGUAAGACGAAGUAGUAAAUUUGUAAAACUUACCAAUUCACCAUUUUAUUUGUAAAACUCACCAUUUUUUUUAACAAAAACUUACCAUUAUUUGAAUUAAAUUUACUAAUUAUAAUUGUUGUAACUUUCUUAAGUAAAAUGGUAAGUUUGUGAAAUAAAGUAGCAAGUUUGGACAAUUAACCAAUUUAUCAUUUUAAUUGUAAAACUUACCAUUUUUUAACAAAAAACUUACUGUUAUUUGAAUUAAACUUACUAAAUAUAAUUGUUGUAACUUUCUUAAGUAAAAUGGUAAGCUUGUAAAAUAAAGUAGCAAGUUUGAACAAUUCACCUAUUUACCAUUUUAUUUGUAAAACAUACCAUUUGUCAAUAAAAACUCACUAUUAUUUGAAUUAAACUUACUAAUUAUAAAGUAGUAAGUUUCGUUGGAGAAGUAUUAAAGGGUAAAUUUCAUAUCACACUUAUAACUUACCAAUUUAAUUAACAAAGUUACCAUAUUAUCACCUGAUGUUACUUUGAAUAUUGGAAACCUGAAUGAACAUUCGUGCAAUUGUCGCUAAAUAUACCAAUCUUGGAUGUGGGAACCACAAUCAACCGGUUGUAUCAGUAUUUUAAUAUAAAAUAUUCACAAGUUCUGGUAACGAUCCGCACUGUAGCAUUAUCCUUGAAAAGAAAGUGAAGUAAUUCAUUUGGAAAUCAGGGGGUGGGAUAAAAGGGGGAGGAUUUGAAUAUAAACUUUCUUAUAGAACAGAGAGGUGAAGUCUUAGAGAGAGGAAAUUGGAACUAACGUCUAAAUUCUAAGUAAUAUGAAGCAUCUAAAUUCCUAGCUGCACCACGUUAUUCUGAAACGUAUUUCUAUAGGAUUUGAAAGAUUUGUUUUUUUUUUGGAAAGCCAAAAUGGUUUGUGAUAACUUUUUUCAACUUAAAAUAGGAUAAAUCACUGGUCAGAAUUGCAUCUAAACGUUAUUUAAAUAGCUUUUACUUGUAAAAGAAAAAAGUUAAGUAAAAUUUAGAAUCAGGGAUUUAAAGGGAACAAUUGCGUGUUGGAUAUGCUACACAAACUCUCGCCAGACCCCGUUUACUUGUAGACACUUAUAUAAGGAGACCAAGAGCAUUGUGUUCCAAUUUGCUCGUUUUCUAGAGUAUAGUUUGCAAGAUGCUUGACAAUCUUGUCCAUCAACAUUCAGGAGGAAACAAUCCGUCAGACCAUUGAAGACAUAGGAUUCAAGGCUACAUUAAUAGAGGAAACGGCAAACGAGAAAUGUAUUUGGGUAUGCAGGAUAAGGAUUGUCGGAAUGGCUUGCACUUCUUGCUCCGGUGCUGUUGAAUCCGUGUUAAAGCUUGUUCCUGGUGUACAGAGAGCCCAAGUUGCUUUAGCAACAGGAGAGGCUGAAGUGAAAUGUGAUCACAAGUUGUUAAGCUGCAAAGAACUCUUGCAGGCGAUAGAUGAUAUAGGGUUUGAAGCCAUUAUCGUUGGUACAGGGGAGAGUAGAAAUAAAAUACAGCUCAAAGUUGAUGGACUAUGUAAUGAAAAUAACGUGCAAAUGAUAGUAAGCUCUCUCGAAGGACAGCCAGGAAUACAGGAUAUACAGGUCGAGGCUGAGCUUCAUAAAGUAUCCAUUUCAUAUCUAGCAGAUGUAACAGGACCAAGAAAUUUCAUUCGAGUUAUUGAAUCAACUGGAUCAGGACAGUUCAAGGCAACGAUAUUUCCUGAGAGGGGAGGAAGAGGAACCCAUAAGCAAGAAGAAAUCAUACAGCAUUACAAUUCAUUGCUGUGGAGCUUGGUUUUUAGCAUUCCUGUUUUCUUGACCUCCAUGAUCUUCAUGUACAUCCCAGUUCUCAAGGAUGGACUAGAUAUGAAAAUUGUUAACAUGCUCAGCAUUGGAGAGGUUUUGAGGUGGGCGUUGUCUACACCAGUGCAGUUCAUAAUAGGCCGGCGAUUUUAUGCUGGCUCUUAUAAAGCAUUACGUAAUGGUUCCCCAAACAUGGAUGUUCUGGUUGCCCUGGGAACAAAUGCAGCAUACUUCUAUUCGGUAUACUCAGUAUUGAGAGCUGCAAGCUCCCCAAAUUUUAAGUCUACUGAUUUUUUUGAGACCAGUUCAAUGCUUAUUUCAUUCAUUUUACUUGGCAAGUAUCUUGAGGUUCUGGCAAAGGGCAAAACAUGUCAGGCCAUCACCAAGCUCAUGGACUUGGCUCCAGAGACAGCAAUAUUGUUAACCCUUGAUGAUGAAGGCAAUGUGACAAAAGAAGAAGAAAUAGAGAGUCAACUAAUACAAAAGAAUGAUGUGAUUAAAAUCAUUCCUGGUGCAAAAGUGGCUUGUGAUGGUUUUGUUAUCUGGGGAGAAAGUAAUGUAAAUGAGAGCAUGAUAACUGGAGAGCCUAGACCUGUCAUAAAAAGGAAGGGCGAUGCGGUCAUUGGAGGAACUUUCAACGAGAAUGGGGCGCUACAUAUAAUGGCAACAAAGGUUGGAUCAGAAAGCGCUCUUUCCCAGAUAGUUCGACUUGUUGAGUCAGCGCAAAUGGCUAAAGCUCCCGUGCAAAAAUUUGCUGAUCGUAUCUCAAAGUUCUUCGUACCUCUUGUAAGUGUAUAGCUAUUUCCAAAUCUGGGAUUCUUUCACACAUUAUUCUACAUCAAGAAUAACUGGAAGUAGCUUGAGUUUUAUUUUUGGAAUUUUAACAACUCUCUGUGUUUCACAUUACACAGGUUGUUUUUCUUUCAUUUUCAACUUGGCUUGCCUGGUUUUUAGCUGGAAAACUUAAUGCCUACCCAAAAUCUUUGAUUCCAUCCUCUAUGGAUAGCUUCCAGCUUGCCCUCCAAUUUGGCAUUUCUGUCAUGGUAAUAGCCUGCCCAUGUGCCCUUGGCCUUGCCACUCCAACGGCUGUUAUGGUUGGUACUGGAGUUGGUGCUUCUCAGGGUGUCCUGAUUAAAGGUGGUCAGGCAUUAGAAAGUGCACAUAAGGUUAGAAGCUGGUAAUUAUAAUUUCAUCGUGCUAAUUGGAGGAAAACCAAUCCAAUUCCAACGAUGAAAACUGGAUAUAUCCUAGCGCUAAAGAUUUUCAUAAUGCUUCAUAAACUUUCACAUUAAAUAUCUGCAUGAUUUAACAGGUAGAGUGUAUAGUUUUUGAUAAGACUGGGACUCUCACAAUUGGCAAGCCAAUGGUUGUCGAGACGAGACUUUUGAAAAGUAUGGCACGUCGAGAAUUUUAUGAAAUGGUUGCUGCUGUGGAGGUAAACUUUUACCUAUUCAUGACUACUCUAAUUUGCUUUAAUGCUGCUUGAUUAAAUUCAGUGUUAGAAAUAACAGAACUCAAAAUUGGACUUGACAUUUAGUGGUCCAUUGUGAUUCAUCAGGUGAACAGCGAGCACCCUUUAGCCAAGGCAAUUGUUGAAUAUGCAAAAAAAUUUAGAGAAGAAGAAGAGAGCAAUGUCUGGCCCGAAGUGAAGCAAUUUGAGUCAAUAACAGGGCAGGGCGUGAUGGCUGUUGUUCGAAAUAGGGAAGUAAUUGUAGGAAACAAGCGCUUAAUGUUAAAAAAGAAUGUAGCAAUUCCAGUUAGUGCUGAAAAUUUUCUGGAGGAAACAGAAGGGUUUGCUCAGACUGGAAUUCUUGUGUCAAUUGAUCAUGAGCUAGUUGGAGUUGUUGCAAUAUCUGAUCCAGUGAAACCCGCAGCUCAAGAAGUCAUUUCCAUUCUCACUUCCAUGCAAAUCAAGAGUAUAUUGGUUACAGGUGACAACUGGGGAACUGCUCAUGCCGUUGCCAAAGAAGUUGGAAUUGGCACUGUCAUUGCAGAGGCCAAACCAGAGGUGAAAGCAGAAAAAGUGAAGGAUUUGCAGGUACAAACCAGGCGUUGGUUCAGUAAACAAUAAUGCUCUUACCGUUGUAAAAUUAUAGAUGGAUGAUAAGUCACAAAUGACCUAGUUAGAGCCAUCUCCUAGUCCCACAGUCUCAAUUAUUUAUAAAGAAUUCCACAUUUUUAAUUAGACAUUGUUCUCAUGAUUUGGACAUGUUCACAGGCUUUGAACUUUGUUGUGGCAAUGGUGGGAGACGGAAUUAAUGAUUCACCAGCACUUGUAGCAGCGGAUAUUGGAAUGGCAAUUGGUGCUGGUACAGACAUAGCUAUUGAAGCAGCUGACAUAGUUCUCAUGAAAAGCAAUUUGGAGGAUGUAAUUACUGCCAUAGACCUUUCUCGGUACACUUUUCGUCGAAUUUGCCUCAACUAUAUUUGGGCUUUGGCAUAUAAUCUCAUUGCCAUUCCGGUUGCUGCUGGGGCACUUUUUCCGUCUACAGGAAUUUGCUUACCCCCAUGGGUUGCUGGGGCUGCAAUGGCAGCUUCUUCUCUGACUGUUGUUUGCUGCUCCCUUUUGUUGAAGAACUAUCGGAGACCUAAGAAGUUAGAUGCUCUGGAGUUGCAAGGAUUAACUGUAGAGUGAAGAUGCAUGAAACAAAUAUAAGAACUAUGAUAUCUCCCGCUUCCUCAAUUGUGGAUAACUUUUCCAUCAUGCGUCUGAUUUCCAGGCUAUGUUGUAGUUAAAGUAUAAAGAAACUUGUAAAUAUUGUCAGUCUGCUUUCUUUUUCAUCUGAGAUGUUGCCGAUUGCUACAAGAUUCUGAAGUGGUAAUUAUAUUAACAAAAGACAAGAUAACAGGGUAAAAGACAAGAAUCAUGUAUCACAAGGUAAGAAGAUAUUCGAAUCACGUUAUUGCACUAGCUACUAUGUGUACAACGAACACAAAAAGCUUUAGUUCAAGCAUAGGGCGUGUUAAGAUCCUUAGAAAUAACCGAAUUAUUACCCAGAGACUGACAACAGCAUGUCUGCAUUCUGGAUUUCCUUUUACAUACCAGAUCCGGCGGCUUGUUGGCUGACAUACAACCAGAAAAUGACACGCUACU
rnacentral:lncRNA from 1 species